rnacentral:sRNA from 1 species
AAGAAGAUCUCUUCACCGUUUACUUCUCCUUAUUCAUCCUCUGUUUCUUCAGCUUCAGCUUCAGCUUCAUGCACUUCCGGUCUAAAUAAAUUCCCGGUUACAGAGAACCGGGGCUCCUUUCCGGUUUUCAAGAACUAAACCAAUUUUCAGAUGUAACUAUGUAUUUGUGUUUUGACCAGAAAAAAAAAAAACUAUCUAUUUGUGUAUAUAUUCAUGCAUAUGUUUGUGUAU